GCUUUCCGAGUAAGUAAACCUUGGUGUGUAACACUCUUAGGUUUUAGCAUCCUGAGGAGUGUGAUUCGAAAGACUUGAGGAACGAUGAACCUAUUGGAGGUCUGUUCAGACACUUGUCGGUUGUGACUUUAGGAUACGCGUGGAUAUCGUUAUACGCCACUGAGGUAGGUUACCUGAGUACAUGGCCUAGGAGUUGGACCACCAUGUUGGUACUACCAGACGGGUAUAAUGCCACAGUAUCGCUAUCGUGCACAAGAUGCGUGAGUCAUCCUUUUUCCGACGUGUGUGGGACAAGGCUGAUCCGAAGCUCAAGGUAGAAUUCUGAUUUGGCACUCAUGAGACACAGAUCCAAACUCUCAUAAGGUAUGUGGGAUAAGGAUCCAUACGUCGCGCUCGAUAGUAGGGGAAUAACUAGACAGGCGAUGGUGAGAUGGAUCAAGACCCGAUACUAUGCUUAUAGAGACUCUGAAUGAUCGUACUCGUGCAAGUUAGAGUCAGAUGGUACCUUGGGGACGUUCUCGUUUCAUGAAGUGUUAAGUUGGCAAUUUUGCAUGAGUGUCUAGAGUGAAACUUAUGUGCGACCAUGAUAUCCUGGUCAGCAUGGUGAGUGGCUAUCAUGUACCAUUGGCGACCGGUGAUGGAAUAUGCAAAUUGUAUCUUGGAUCGGCUCGAUGUGUGAUGUGUCCGGUAAGGUAUUGCUAGAUACUCUGAAUGGAGAAGUGUUAAUCUUGGUAAAGCAUGGACAUUUUGGUUUGAGUACUGCUAAGGAGUUUAUAAGAGAGAUGUUCGAAGUGCAAAGUGCAAAGUGCAAUUUCUUGCAUUGUGGCUGCACUCAGACCGUUGGAAGCACUGCAAUGAAGGAUGCAACCGCUGAGGAAGUCAGUUCAGUGUCUGAUUCAGAGGUGGAACAUACGUUAGAUGACUGUGUGGAUGGAGUGUGGCUAUGGGAGUAUUGUUAUAUCAGUAAGUCACACGAGUUAUCAGAGGUGAUACUACGCUAAGGGAAUGAAGGUGUAUGGUUGGGUAAAAGUUGUGUAGAACUGCUAGAGUUAUCAUGAGCUGUAGUACGUUUUAAAGGGUUUAUUAUACCGGCUAAGCAACCAGACUUGUUAGAAGGGAAAAACAUAGCAGUUGUACGCUGUGGAAAUCAGUGACAGGGACGAACCUCUAAGUCAGUGAAUUUUUGGGUUUCAAUGUCCUGAGAUCGAAACGUGUACCUAAGUUGUGAUAGAUGAACUAUAUGGAAUGGCAGAGUAAGUAGAAGCUUGAUUCUGGAGAGUAUGCAACUUUGAAGAGUAGUAGUCGAUGAUGGAUGUAUAUGGAGUCCUGGCAUGUGUUGUAAUUGGACAACUAUGGAUAAGGAAUUAUUGUGUAUUAAUGGAAACUAAGUGAAUUAUGGAUAUAACGUGACUCAGAGGAUUUCAAGGUGUGUGACUUGUUGGAAUCAGAGUAGCGCAACAGAUCAAGGAAGAAUCAGAUAAGUCUGAGGUAGGAACGAACGGACUAUUUGUAGGAUUUUAUGUUGGGAUGAAAGUAUCUUCCUAAGGCAAAUUGUUGAAACAGUGUUUUGUUCAUUCCAGUCUCUCGAGGAUCCACCAUAAACUCGAGAGGUGUUGUCAAUGGACCAACUUGGGAAUACAUUUUUGUGGAUGGCAUGCGGUUCAAUGUUCGUAGGUCAUCAGUUUAGCUUGCAAGUCACAAGGGUUCGACUGAGUAUCAGACCGUCGAAAUGCUGAAGGCUAAAGAGGACUUUCAGUUGGCGCAAGUUCUUUGUGGUUAUGCCUUGUGUACUAUGAUUGUACAUGAAGACUGGUACAAUGGUUACAGGUCAGUUGUUGAAUUUCGCGUCUUAUUAGUAGAAUCUUGUUCAAAGUUUUCGAAUGUCAAGGCUAUAGUUGCAAGAUGAUUGCACCUUCGCGGUCUAUGAUGACAGUUGUUAUGUCUAGACUGGAGUAAGGGUUAAAGUAAGGAGAUUCAGUUGUAUGAGUAAAGGUAAAUUUGGGACAAUCAUCCUAAAACUUUGGGAACCAGAGGUUAAGACCAAGGAAUUUGGAGAUCACCUAAUGACAUUGUAUGGACUCGAGUGGAGAAUAACUUGAAGUGUUGUCGCAGAAGUGACAUUGUGGCGGUAAUUCUCAAGUGGGAAAUAAUUCAACGAGCUGAGUGAAUCAGUAAUGUUUGUUGAACGAGGGUGAACACACCAGAGAAUGAAACGAAGGAUAUCGACAUCAGUGGAAGAAUCUUUUCCGGGGUGUGUUAAGAUGAAGUAUCUGCAGAGAUGGGUUACAUGAGGAUUAGAGUUUCUGGCCAUGUAUAGUGGGACGCAAGUAAAUUGACAGAUUAUGUUUCUUCGUACCGAAUGAUCCUCGGACAGAGUAAUGAGAUUAUCUAAGGACGAAGGUGAGUAACAUUAUUUCACUUGAUUGGAUAGAUCAAUGGUUGGUUUUCGUGGUGAUCAAAAGGAAUUCGAGGACGAAUUCUAUUUAAGGGGGGAAGAAUGUAACAUCUCUAUUUCUCAAAACAAGAAUAAAUAGUGAGACCUUAUGACAACUUAGUGUCAAUAUAACACUAAGCAUUAUUGAGAAAUUUCUAAGAAAAGAUUUUUAUUUAGAAUGGUUAGAAUCAAGAGUUUGGUUAGAAAUGAACUAGAUGGCAAAGUGGUAAAUACCACUUAGUUGGAGGAUAAAAGAGACCAUAAACAUCACUUGCAUGUGAACAUAAGGCCAUGUUUGGUGGAAGACUUACAAAAAUCAGAAUUUAUGAGAAAAGAGCUUAAGAGCAUGGAGGAGAAAGAAGAGCUUAUGUUCAUCCUUUGCAUUUUCGCAACCCAUGGACAGCCUCCACUAAAAGUGCCAUAACUCUCUGCUCACAGCUCCGAUUGAGGUUUGAAGUGGAGUGAUCCAUGCUGAGUUUGUGUGUGAAUGCAGCUGCGAAUUUGAUGAUGAAGAAGGUGAACCUUUGGGCAAGAGUGGAGUUCAAAGGCUGCAUUAACACCAUCUAAACCUCUAUUAAUCCAAGGUGCAGUUAGUAGCGUUUGGUCAGUAACAGGUUUGGACUGGAGACUUGGAAGUGGUGUUGGCUCGAAGACCUCGUUGGUUUUGACAUUCCGCUGUGCAAGAUCCAUUGAAGACACAUGUUUUGUAAUUAUUAUUAUUAUUUCAUGUUGUAAUCUAAAUGGAUCAUCUUGUAUCCAUAGCUUUUGUAUGUACUCAAUAUCAAUUUUAACGUU